UAGACGCUGGCGGCAUGCCUUACACAUGCAAGUCGAACGGCAGCGCGGGAGCAAUCCUGGCGGCGAGUGGCGAACGGGUGAGUAAUACAUCGGAACGUGCCCAAUCGUGGGGGAUAACGCAGCGAAAGCUGUGCUAAUACCGCAUACGAUCUACGGAUGAAAGCAGGGGAUCGCAAGACCUUGCGCGAAUGGAGCGGCCGAUGGCAGAUUAGGUAGUUGGUGAGGUAAAGGCUCACCAAGCCUUCGAUCUGUAGCUGGUCUGAGAGGACGACCAGCCACACUGGGACUGAGACACGGCCCAGACUCCUACGGGAGGCAGCAGUGGGGAAUUUUGGACAAUGGGCGAAAGCCUGAUCCAGCCAUGCCGCGUGCAGGAUGAAGGCCUUCGGGUUGUAAACUGCUUUUGUACGGAACGAAACGGCCUUUUCUAAUAAAGAGGGCUAAUGACGGUACCGUAAGAAUAAGCACCGGCUAACUACGUGCCAGCAGCCGCGGUAAUACGUAGGGUGCAAGCGUUAAUCGGAAUUACUGGGCGUAAAGCGUGCGCAGGCGGUUAUGUAAGACAGUUGUGAAAUCCCCGGGCUCAACCUGGA
rnacentral:rRNA from 1 species